AUACGGAGGGGGCGAGCGUUGCUCGGAAUUACUGGGCGUAAAGGGUCCGCAGGUGGCCUUAUAAGUUAGAUGUGAAAGCUCAGGGCUUAACCCUGAAAACGCAUCUAAUACUGUGAGGCUUGAGUACAGGAGAGGUUGCGGAAUUCCCGGUGUAGCGGUGAAUUGCGUAGAUAUCGGGAGGAACACCAGUGGCGAAGGCGGCCAACUGGCCGGUAACUGACACUCAGGGACGAAAGCGUGGGUAGCGAACCGGAUUAGAUACCCGGGUAGUCCACGCCCUAAACGUUGGAUGCUAGGUGUGGGGAUGAAAAUCUCUGUGCCGUAGUUAACGCGUUAAGCAUCCCGCCUGGGGAGUACGAUCGCGAGGCUGAA
rnacentral:rRNA from 1 species